AACACAUUUAUCCAAUUCAACAGGUUCAUUCAUCUCUCAGAGGAAAACUUGAUCAUGAAGACAAAAAGUUCAGCAUGAAAUCAACAGAUGUUCCAUAUGAAAACAUGGAUGACCAACUAAAGGACAAAACAACCCCUAUGUAAUCGCAAACCUGAAUAAAGUGAUCUUUUUCAAUGCUUAUCCAACAACGUCAAUUCAAAGAGGAUUUCAACUCUGUCAUAAAUUAAGGAAGUGUUUUGUUGUGUUAAAAGUGUGAAUGUAUAACUUAAACUUUUAAAGAUGUCAUUUUAGUGAGGUAUGAAUGUUUAAAUAAUAAAAUAGUGCAAAUUGUU